rnacentral:rRNA from 1 species
ACGGCUCAGUAACACGUGGAUAACUUGCCCUUGGGUCUGGGAUAACCCCUGAGAAAUUGGGGACAAUACCAGAUAGGGCAUCGAUAGCUGGAGUGCGCGAUGUCCAAAAGCUGAGGCGCCCAAGGAUAGGUCUGCGGCCGAUUAGGUUGUUGUUGAUGUAAUGGAUCAACAAGCCUGCAAUCGGUACGGGUUGUGAGAGCAAGAGCCCGGAGAUGGGUUCUGAGAAAAGAACCCAGGUCCUACGGGACGCAUCAGGCGCGAAAACUUUACAAUGUGCGAAAGCACGAUAAGGGAACUCUGAGUGCCUCCUAUGGAGGCUGUUCAGGUGUCAAAAAAGCACUUGAAGUAAGGGCUGGGUAAGACCGGUGCCAGCCGCCGCGGUAACACCGGCAGCCCAAGUGGUAGCCACGAUUAUUGGGUCUAAAGCGUCCGUAGCCGGCCAGGUAAGUUCUUUGGGAAAUUUAACCGCUCAACGGUUAAGCUUUCAGGGAAUACUGCUUGGCUUGGGACCGGGAGAGGUCAGAGGUACUUCAAGGGUAGGGGUGAAAUCCGUUAAUCCUUGAGGGACCACCAGUAGCGAAGGCGUCUGACCAGACCGGGUCCGACGGUGAGGGACGAAGGCUAGGGUCGCGAACUGGAUUAGAUACCCGGGUAGUCCUAGCUGUAAACGAUGCGGGCCAGGUGUUGGCAUUACUGCGAGUGAUGUCAGUGCCGAAGGGAAGCCGUUAAGCCCGCCAUCUGGGGAGUACGGUCGCAAGGCUGAAACUUAAAGGAAUUGGCGGGGGAGCACCACAACGGGU